GACGAACGCUGGCGGCGUGCUUAACACAUGCAAGUCGAACGAUGAAGCCAUUCGUGGUGGAUUAGUGGCGAACGGGUGAGUAACACGUGAGUAACCUGCCCUUCACUCUGGGAUAACCUUCGGAAACGGGGGCUAAUACUGGAUAUGACUCGCGCUCGCAUGGGGGUGGGUGGAAAGAUUUUUUUGGUGGGGGAUGGGCUCGCGGCCUAUCAGCUUGGUGGUGGGGUGAUGGGUUACCAAGGCGACGACGGGUAGCCGGCCUGAGAGGGUGACCGGCCACACUGGGACUGAGACACGGCCCAGACUCCUACGGGAGGCAGCAGUGGGGAAUAUUGCACAAUGGGCGGAAGCCUGAUGCAGCGACGCCGCGUGGGGGAUGAAGGCCUUCGGGUUGUAAACCUCUUUCGCCAGGGAAGAAGCUUUUGUGACGGUACCUGGAGAAGAAGCACCGGCUAACUACGUGCCAGCAGCCGCAGUAAAAC
rnacentral:rRNA from 1 species